UCGGGAAUUUUGGGCAAUGGGCGAAAGCCUGACCCAGCAACGCCGCGUGAAGGAUGAAGUCUCUCGGGAUGUAAACUUCGUAAGAAUAGGAAGAAUAAAUGACGGUACUAUUUGUAAGGUCCGGCUAACUACGUGCCAGCAGCCGCGGUAAUACGUAGGGACCAAGCGUUGUUCGGAUUUACUGGGCGUAAAGGGCGCGUAGGCGGCGUGGUAAGUCACUUGUGAAAUCUCCGAGCUUAACUCGGAACGGUCAAGUGAUACUGCUGUGCUAGAGUACAGAAGGGGCAAUCGGAAUUCUUGGUGUAGCGGUGAAAUGCGUAGAUAUCAAGAGGAACACCUGAGGUGAAGACGGGUUGCUGGGCUGACACUGACGCUGAGGCGCGAAAGCCAGGGGAGCAAACGGGAUUAGAUACCCGUGUAGUCCCUGAGCGGGCUGGCAAGGCGCAU
rnacentral:rRNA from 1 species